GACGAACGCUGGCGGCGUGCUUAACACAUGCAAGUCGAACGGAAAGGCCCUGCGUUUGUGGGGUGCUCGAGUGGCGAACGGGUGAGUAACACGUGAGUAACCUGCCCUUGACUUUGGGAUAACUUCAGGAAACUGGGGCUAAUACCGGAUAGGAGCUCCUGCUGCAUGGUGGGGGUUGGAAAUUUUCGGCGGUCGGGGAUGGACGCGCGGCUUAUGAGCUUGUUGGUGGGGUAGUGGCUUACCAAGGCUUUGACGGGUAGCCGGCCCGAGAGGGUGACCGGCCACAUUGGGACUGAGAUACGGCCCAGACUCCUACGGGAGGCAGCAGUGGCGAAUAUUGCACAAUGGGCCGAAGCCUGAUGCAGCAACGCCGCGUGCGGGAUGACGGCCUUCGGGUUGUAAACCGCUUUCGCCUGUGACGAAGCGUGAGUGACGGUAAUGGGUAAAGAAGCACCGGCUAACUACGUG
rnacentral:rRNA from 1 species